GAAACUGUCUAACUUGAGUGCAGCAGAGGGGUUCGGAAUUCCUGGUGGAGCGGUGAAAUGCGUAGAUAUCAGGAAGAACACCAGUGGCGAAGGCGGAGCUCUGGGCUGUAACUGACGCUGAGGUACGAAAGCCAGGAUAGCGAACGGGAUUAGAUACCCCGGUAGUCCUGGCAGUAAACGCUGGACACCAGGUGUUGGGGGUUCGAAUCCACCAGUGCCGCAGUUAACGCAUUAAGUGUCCCGCCUGGGGAUUACGGUCGCAAGACUGAAACUCAAAGGAAUUGACGGGGGCCCGCACAAAGCGGUGGAGCAUGUGGUUUAAUUCGAAGCAACGCCGAAGAACCUUACCGAGAUUUGACAUCCCAUGACUAUCUGUAAAAGCAGA
rnacentral:rRNA from 1 species